UCCCAUCCCGAACUCAGAAGUGAAACGUAGCAGCGCCGAUGGUAGUGUGGGAGAUCCCAUGUGAGAGUAGGUCAACCUCAGGGC
rnacentral:rRNA from 1 species